GAGUUUGAGUAAGUCGGAUCAAAUCCAAACCAAAUUCGUAUUUUUUUAACUCAAUCCACACAUGAGUUGACUUGAACGCCAAGUCUCCGGCCUCUACUGCGUUUAGAAUUGAAUCCAAUCAUAAGUGGUACAUUCUUUUUGAUUCAUUUCACAUAUGGAUUGAGUUCAACUUCAAAAUCCAAAGUCUUUGCUCUACAUAGCGUUUUGUGGAGUCGAAAUUUUAAUGUGGAUACCUAAACGAUGUCGUUGAAUCAUGUAAAAUUUAAAACUAUUCUAUUGAAUCACGUGCAAUGAAAAGGACAAACUAGUAAAUAAAUAUACACGCCGGAUAAGGUCUCCCGAUCCGCAGUUAAAAACAAAAAUGAAAAUGAAAUAUUUACAUUAAUGAGGAUUCUGAGAAAUUGAUCGUUCUGUUAUUCUUUCUGAUUAUGGGCUGUUGUAAAUACGAAAUUAUGAUAAGCACAUCCGUUUGUAUAAUCACGUAUAACAAAAAAGUGGUCGGAGAAUGUUGGCCGACGAUGGAUGCACUACGAUGAAGCCGAUUCAAUUGGUACAAUUGGCCAUUCCUAUCGAAUCAGUUCAUCUCCCAAUCACGUAUCUCGGAGAACUUUGCCAAUUUCAAUUUAAAGACCUUAAUGCUGGAAACAAUCAGUUCCAGCAGACCUACGCAGCUUAAGUGUGUGUUGUCAAUCUUCCAUUGCAUCUUCAUAUAAGUUUUUGGUUGUACAGAUGAAGAGACUGAGGGAAAUGGCUUGCAAGCUAUGUUUUUUCAGGGAACAAGAGGCAAAGGCAGGCUCGUUUCUCUUGACAAAGUCUGCAACAUGUAAUGAAUCCACCUUGGAGGUAUGUUUGGACCUUCCAUUUUAUAGCCCCGUAAAGCUUUUGAGGUGUUACAUUUAAAUGACUUUCUUGGGGUUGUGGUUGUGGCUAGCUAAACUUUUCCAUUGCCGAUCUGGUCACGGCAUAAGCUUAGUCCUCUGAAACCUUUCCUGUAACUUAGAUCCAGUUUUUAGAAUGUGUUCUAAAGACGGUAUAUAUGAAUCCGCCUUUACAUCCGCACUCACAUACGUAAUUUUCAGGAUCAUACAUCAUGGUGCAAAUUAUGCAUUCAAUUUAAGCCUCUCAUUUCUUAGCCA